UUUUUUUUCAACAUGACAAGUUCUUUCUAUCCCUUUGACUUUUGAAAACCUGCUAUAGAAAUUGAAAACUUUCGUGACAGAUUAGUGGUUCAGUUAUUCUGGCUUGCCUCUUAAUAAAAAUAUUUGUCAUUCCUACCUCUCAGUAAAACUCCCAAAAAAACUGCAAAUAUCAUGAAAAAAAUAUGAAGAAAUGUAUCUCGAACUUGAACAUAUAUUUCCGAAGGAACACAAGCAUUUUUCAAAGGAACUGAUCUUAUAAAAUACGAACUGAAAAUUGAAGUUGACCUUUCCUCUUCAAGAGUUACUUUUAGUUCUGAUGAAUCGUCAGAGGUGUUUGCAACGAAAUUACCGGAACAUUUCAUAAUAUUCUCAAAAGGAAUAUAUAACUACUAAUUACUUUGCAAUUUCUGAACCGAUUUCCAUAAGUGAAACGACAUUAACCAAAAACUCUCUCAUAUUUGAGAGUAAAAAACUCUUCAAUCAUCUGCCGAGCCAAGUAAAAAAUAUAUCAUGCCCGAGAAUCUUUCGGAAAACCCUCAAAGGCAUAUUUUUAACUAAAGGAUACUACAGCCUGCA